GUGGGGAAUAUUGGACAAUGGGGGGAACCCUGAUCCAGCCAUGCCGCGUGUGUGAAGAAGGCCUUUUGGUUGUAAAGCACUUUAAGUGGGGAGGAGGCUUACCUGGUUAAUACCUAGGAUAAGUGGACGUUACCCACAGAAUAAGCACCGGCUAACUCUGUGCCAGCAGCCGCGGUAAUACAGAGGGUGCGAGCGUUAAUCGGAUUUACUGGGCGUAAAGCGCGCGUAGGUGGCUAAUUAAGUCAAAUGUGAAAUCCCCGAGCUUAACUUGGGAAUUGCAUUCGAUACUGGUUAGCUAGAGUAUGGGAGAGGAUGGUAGAAUUCCAGGUGUAGCGGUGAAAUGCGUAGAGAUCUGGAGGAAUACCGAUGGCGAAGGCAGCCAUCUGGCCUAAUACUGACACUGAGGUGCGAAAGCAUGGGGAGCAAACAGGAUUAGAAACCCUAGUAGUC
rnacentral:rRNA from 1 species